ACCUACGGGGGGCAGCAGUGAGGAAUAUUGGUCAAUGGUCGGGAGACUGAACCAGCCAAGCCGCGUGAGGGAGGAAGGUACAGAGUAUCGUAAACCCCUUUUGUCAGGGAACAAAGGCGGGGACGUGUCCCCGGAUGAGUGUACCUGAAGAAAAAGCAUCGGCUAACUCCGUGCCAGCAGCCGCGGUAAUACGGAGGAUGCGAGCGUUAUCCGGAUUUAUUGGGUUUAAAGGGUGCGCAGGCGGUCUGUUAAGUCAGCGGUCAAAGCCCGGGGCUCAACCCCGGCCCGCCGUUGAAACUGGCCGU
rnacentral:rRNA from 1 species